rnacentral:lncRNA from 1 species
CAGUUUUUAUACGACCGCAAAAAUUGAAAAUAUUUUGGUUGUAUAUUGGUAUGAUGUUGGCGUCGUCGUCUGCGUUGUCGGCGUCGUCGUCGUCCAAAUACUUUUAGUUUUCGCACUCUAACUUUAGUAAAAGUGAAUAGAAAUCUAUGAAAUUUUAACACAAGGUUUAUGACCACAAAAGGAAGGUUGGGAUUGAUUUUGGGAGUUUUGGUCUCAAUAUUUUAGGAAUUAGGGGCCAGAAAGGGCCCAAAUAAGCAUUUUCUUGGUUUUCGCACUAUAACUUUAGUUUAAGUCACUAGAAAUCUAUGAAAUUUUAACACAAGGUUUAUGACCACACAAGGAAGGUUGGGAUUGAUUUUGGGAUGUUUGGUUCCAACAGUUUAGGAAUUAGGGGCAAAAAAGGCCCAAAUAAGCAUUAUUCUUGGUUUUCGCACAAUAACUUUAGUAUAAGUAAAUAGAAAUCAAUGAAAUGUAAACAAAAGGUUUAUGACCACAAAAGGAAGGUUGGGAUUGAUUUUGGGAGUUGAGGUCCCAAUAAUUUAGGAAUUAGGGGCAAAAAAGGGGC